CUAAAAUCUCAUCAACUUUUAGGGGUUUUUUUUUCCUACUCUCCGUGUCCAUACACUGGAAGGCUCUGUUAGAGAUGACUAAGGCUGAGAGGACGAGCCAGCUGCACCCAACUGCCUGAUCACAUGGAACCCAGGGGACGUCUUGGUUCCCAGUGACAGCCGAGGAUUGCUCUAAAAUCUUUAACUCCAUGAAGAAAUACACUUGGGAUACUGGAAGCAUUAGGUGCUUCCCUGGCUUUGGGGAUCCAUGGAAGUUAGGUGUACUGGCUGGUUUUGUGUCAACUUGACACAGGCUGGAGUUAUCACAGAAAGGAGCCUCCCUUGAGGAAAUGCCUCCAUGAGAGCCAGCUGUAUGGCAUUUUCUCAACUAGUGAUCAAGGGGGGAGGGCCCAUUGUGGGUGGGACCAUCUCUGGACUGGUAAUCUUGGUUCUAUAAGAAAGCAGGCUGAGCAAGCCAGGGAAAGCAAGCCAGUAAGGAACAUCCCUCCAUGGCCUCUGCAUCAGCUCCUGCUUCCUGCCCUGUGUGAGUUCCAGUCCUGACUUCCUUGGUGAUGAACAGCAAUGUGGAAGUGUAAGCUGAAUAAACCCUUUCUGACCUAACUUGUCUCCUGGUCAUGAUGUUUGUGCAGGACUAGAAACCCUGACUAAGACAACAGGAAAGAAUGUGAGAGUUACCAAGACCUAAGUGUGCCGGUGGGAAGGACCACUUUGCAGUCUAGUUGGUGUGUUGGCAUUUGUUACAUUAUUUGAAAUAGAGUCUUAUUACAUAAUAGAUGCUGGCCUCUAACUCCUGAUCUUCCUGCCUCAGCUUCCCAAAUGUGAUUACAGGCAUGCAACCCUAUACCUGAUUUUUUUUUUUUUUUUACCGUUUAUUAGUCUGUGCAAAAUUUUCUUGUAUGUGUUUGUGGUUUGUGUUCAUAUGUUUGUGUGUUCCCGUGAGGGAUCAAGGAAGACUUGCCAUCUUCUGUACUAUGGCAGGCUCUCUAGCUGAGUAUGGAGCGUGCCAAUUCUGCUUGUCUGGCUAACCAGCUUGCUUUGGUGAGUCCCUGCCUCCCGAUCUGGUGCCCUGGGAUUCGAUGUACAUUACCAUGCAUGCUCAACUUAGUGUGAGUUCCAGGGCUCUGAACUCCGGACUUUAUGCUCACCUUACUGUUGUCCAGCUGAGUCUGAGGAAAUUCUAAGGCGUUUCAUUUUGUUAUUGUUGUUGUUAGGGUUGUUAGGUUGAUUAGCCUCAAACCUACCAGGUAGCCAAAGAUGACUUUAAUUCCUGAUUCUCUAGCCUCUUGAGUGGAUAUAUUCUAAGUUAACUCCAAAAGCCGGGAUUAGAAGCUUGGAUACUUUCAUGACCAGUAAUCUUAUUCUUCGGAGUAUGUGGCAAAAGAUGCAGAAUUACGUCUAAUGCCAUGGUACACUUAAUUUAUUUGUGAGCUCAGAAAGAAAAAACAAAACAAAACACCCUACAUAUAUCAUUACUUUGGGGGAUACAUGGGGAAAGUCUUAGAGUUACUGUUCUAAUAAUUGUGGGGUUUUUUUAAUUGUUAAAAUUGUAUUUCUGUAAAAUACAAAGCCAAUUGUUUUAUAGUUUAUAUAUGUGGCAGGACCAUGCUUUUUUAGCCUGCUCUACUCUAGAAAUCUGUAGAAAUGAUUGGGAGACUCUCUAGCUCCAGCCAGUGAGGUGGCAGUUGCAGUCCACUUAGCAUAUUUGCAUGGCGUUUGUAUUUUAUAAUGUAUAAAUCAGCAGUUUGGACCAACAUACAAAGCUGUGACACUUUUGAGUGAUCUUAAAAGCAGAGAAGAAAACCCUUAAUCAGGAACGUAAUUUAAUUCAUCACAAAUCAGAAGGUAAUUUGUUUUCGUCCUUCAGGUAGAUAUAAUUUAGAAUAAUUACAUUUGAAAUUUUAAAAAUAUUUUUGUAUAAUUCUUUUGACUUUUCCUACUUUAUUUUAUAUUUCUCUUGUGAAGAUUGCAUCAGUGUAUGCAUUAAGUUAUGAAGAGAGCCUUAUUAAUCGGUGUUUAAGCUAUUCUUGGAUUAGGUAACAUACAGAAGCUUGUGAUGGGUGGGCAGACUCCGUUCUCAACAUAUGGCUUAAUAUUAAGGAAGUAGUCCUUGUCCUCACAACACCUCACAGUAUUUUUUGGUGUGACUUGAUCUUUGAGCGUUUUCUUUGGCCUUUCCACAUUGUGUUGACUUGUUGUGACUUGAUCAUCGAGCGUUUUCUUUGGCCUUGCCACAUUGUGUUGACUUGGGCGUUCUAGAAAAAUGCUGAAUUAUUAGUCAUUAAAGGUAUUUCCAAAGAGUCAGAAAUGGGCAGCCUAAUCCCUAUUUAGAUUAUGUCAAGUGUUAUGACAUUGAAAUUUCUCUGUAAAAUCUGGGCCUUAUAUUAAGGUCUCAAACAUAUGCCAUUGCCCUAUAUAAUAAGAUGAGUUCCUUCCUUAACCUUGACUCUUUUAGGUACCAAAGAACAUGAAAACUUCUUUUAACUCUCGUGUGUGUGUGUGUGUGUGUGUGUGUGUGUGUUUGUGUGUGCGCGUGUGUACAUGUGGUAGUGGAAGCCAGAGGUCGAUGCCCAUUGUCUUAACUCAGUAUCCUCUACCUUUAUUUAUUUUGGGGGACGGUCUCUUUUGAACCUGCACUCUGUGGAUUUGACAAGGCUUGCUAGCCCGUGAGCACCGGGAGCUCACCUUUCCUUCCCUCCUCCCAGCCAGUGCUGGGAUCACAGGUGCCACUGAGCCUCGGCCUCACCUGGUUCUGUGCAGCAGGCAGUUUAGAGCCCAAGCCGUCUCUCUAUCACUCCUGUCGUGACUUUUAUUCUAAGCUAAACUUAAAUAUAAUCACAGGUAGAAAAAACAGUAUGGUGGCCCAUGAUAGGAUCCCAUCCGUAGGGCAACCUAAAGGCGGGACCGGAAGAUUUUAGACCUGGGAAGCAAGUACUGCAAAGUAGGAGGACACAAAAGUGACACUGAGAAAGCCGGCAGCCUUUCUGUGCUCCACAGCGAACUGCUGAGAAAGAAAUCAGGGGCACAACCUCACUCACAGCUGCCUCAAGAAAUAGUAAAAGUUCUAAACCUAGUUAUGAAGGUGAAAAGCUUCUUUAAUAAAAACU
rnacentral:lncRNA from 1 species